GAUUCUGCAGAGAUUUUCCUCCUCCGUAAUCUGCAAAUAAAAUACCAAACAAAUCCAAAUCGAAUCCCACUCCCAUUCCCACGUUGAAACCGCCUCUCCCCACUCCCUAAAUCUCUCACAUAUCUUUAACCACCCUCCCUCUAUAUUAUUCACUUCAAAUUAGUUUCUUUCUCCCAUUCGUUUUCUGUAAUCAAGAAAACAAGCUUCAUUCUUUCAAGAAACUGAGUUUGCAAAAUUCAGUGGGCUACUCCUUUCGGUCCUACAAUUUCACAACCAAUAUCUUGUUAUCGAGGUAAAACCCCUUCCCAAUUUCAAGUCAUGAACUUUUAGUAUACCCUUCGCAGCAUAUCAUCAUACAUCAGUCCCGCUGAACUCGGUAAUAAAUGAACAAUCUGGAAUCAAUCUUUAAUCGUUUUAAUCGAAACAAAACCGAAUAAAAAAUUGAACUUUUAACGAAUCACCGAGCGACGGCGGUAGUGCGGGGUGACGAAUCGGAGCCGGCAGCGACUGUUUCGGAAGCGGCGGUACUCACGGUGAAUCGGAGAAACUAUUUGUGUGAGUUCUGUUUUGGGGGAUGGAGAGAGUUGAGGGAGAAAGGGGGCCCGACGAGUUUGGGAAAUGGGGUAGUUGAUUCCUUGUUUUCAUUAUUUAUUAUUACUUUAAUAUUUA